AGUCAGAUAGCUCAGUUGGUAGAGCAGAGACUGAA
rnacentral:tRNA from 1 species